AUUGAACGCUGGUGGCAUGCCUUACACAUGCAAGUCGAACGGCAGCACGGGAGCAAUCCUAGUGGCGAGUGGCGAACGGGUGAGUAAUAUAUCGGAACGUGCCUAGUAGUGGGGGACAACCAUUCGAAAGAGUGGCUAAUACCGCAUACGCACUCUGGUGGAAAGUGGGGGAUCGCAAGACCUCACGCUAUUAGAGCGGCCGAUAUCAGAUUAGGUAGUUGGUGGGGUAAAGGCCUACCAAGCCUACGAUCUGUAGCUGGUCUGAGAGGACGAGCAGCAACACUGGGACUGAGACACGGCCGAGACUCCUACGGGAGGCAGCAGUGGGGAAUUUUGGACAAUGGGCGCAAGCCUGAUCCAGCCAUGCCGCGUGUGGGAAGAAGGCCUUCGGGUUGUAAACCACUUUUGUCAGGGAAGAAACGGCUUCGGUUAAUACCUGGAGCUAAUGACGGUACCUGAAGAAUAAGCACCGGCUAACUACGUGCCAGCAGCCGCCGUAA
rnacentral:rRNA from 1 species